rnacentral:rRNA from 1 species
ACAAGCGGCGGAGUAUGUGGUUUAAUUCGAUGCAACGCGAAGAACCUUACCUGGUCUUGACAUCCCGGAGACCCUUAGGAAACUAGGGGGUGCUUCCAUCUGGAAGAAUCUGGAGACAGGUGCUGCAUGGCUGUCGUCAGCUCGUGUCGUGAGAUGUUGGGUUAAGUCCCGCAACGAGCGCAACCCUUGCCUUUAGUUGCCAGCAGUUCGGCUGGGCACUCUAAAGGGACUGCCGGUGUUAAACCGGAGGAAGGUGGGGAUGACGUCAAGUCCUCAUGGCCUUUAUGACCAGGGCUACACACGUACUACAAUGGCCGAUACAAAGGGCAGCGACACUGCGAGGUGAAGCCAAUCCCGUAAAAUCGGUCUCAGUCCGGAUUGGAGUCUGCAACUCGACUCCAUGAAGUUGGAAUCACUAGUAAUCGUGGAUCAGCAUGCCACGGUGAAUACGUUCCCGGGCCUU